rnacentral:lncRNA from 1 species
AACAACGCUUUGAUUAAUUAAUUCAUUACCCAGGAUAAACCGUUGUCUUUGAUCUUCAAAUUCCACGAAUUCCACCGGGUCCGGUACAUCUUCGUUGUUGACAUUUGAGUUUUCAAUCCAUUCAACACCUUCAUCUCGAAUGGCGUAUGCGAGGGCAUUCAAGCCACCGUCAUGAUCAGGAUCCAAAGAACACGCAACAAAGGAUUCCUCGUCAUCACUAGAAUCAGCAUCAAUUCGCCCUUGAUCCUCUUCAUCAGUUUCACUAACAUACUCCUCAUCACUUCUACUUACGUCCAAUAGAUCAGUUGUAGUCACUCCCCGAUUAGUCCAUUCACGAUGAGUAGAUGAUGGACCUUCAUUUUAAUAAGGAGGGUUAGUAUUUCUUAUUUCCC